rnacentral:rRNA from 1 species
UACGUAGGGGGCAAGCGUUGUCCGGAAUUAUUGGGCGUAAAGAGCGUGUAGGCGGUCCGGUAAGUCAGCUGUGAAAGUCAAGGGCUCAACCCUUGAAAGCCGGUUGAUACUGUCGGGCUUGAGUACGGAAGAGGCGAGUGGAAUUCCUGGUGUAGCGGUGAAAUGCGCAGAUAUCAGGAGGAACACCAAUUGCGAAGGCAGCUCGCUGGGACGUUACUGACGCUGAGACGCGAAAGCGUGGGGAGCAAACAGG